UCCCGAGAAGGAUCGCAUGGUUUUGUUUGGAUACUCAAAGAUGAAUUCCCCAAAGACGGCAUGGAAAUCGUAUUUUGAAACGUUUUGGCAGAAAGUGAUAGCAAGAAUGAGUUACUAAUGAAAACUUAGCUUGAAUUGAGCAGUUGGAGGAUAACAGUGACAAUAACAGUGAUGAUAAUAAAGCCAAGAAGAGGCGAUUAGAUGUGACCAGUGCUGACAAUAAGAAACCAAAGAAGAAUAUAAAGCUUUUGUCAUCAUGAAAUUUCCUCAAGCAAAUAAUACAAUUUUAAAAGCUGUUAUGACACAAGAGUGCAAAGAAUUUAGGCUGUCAAUGGAAAACCGAAAAAAGAAUCAGGAAGAUCUUAGCAACAAUUAAGGACAGUAGGAUGACUAAAUAAAUUAUAGUAUUAUAAUUCAUUUUAUUUUAUAUUUACAGAUGUAUCUUUUACUCUUUAACAUAGUCAAAUGUUUCACUUCAUUUUGUAAUAUGGUUUUUA